CGAACGGGUGAGUAACGCGUGAGUAACCUGCCCUGGAGUGGGGGACAACAGUUGGAAACGACUGCUAAUACCGCAUAAGCCCACGGAUCCGCAUGGAUCUGCGGGAAAAGGAUUUAUUCGCUUCAGGAUGGACUCGCGUCCAAUUAGCUAGUUGGUGAGGUAACGGCCCACCAAGGCGACGCUUGGUAGCCGGACUGAGAGGUUGAACGGCCACAUUGGGACUGAGACACGGCCCAGACUCCUACGGGAGGCAGCAUG
rnacentral:rRNA from 1 species